CAAUAGCGUAUAUUAAAGUUGUUGCAGUUAAAAAGUUCGUAGUUGGAUUUCUGGUUGAAGCGACCGGUCGGGCGUUGAUUCGUCUGCACUGGAGUCGGUUUUGGCCAUCCUCUAGGAAAGUGCGUCUGGUAUUAAGUUAUCGGGCGUAUGAUCCUGGUCUUUUACUGUGAAAAAAUUAGAGUGUUUAAAGCAGGCCUUCGCCUUGAAUACAUUAGCAUGGAAUAAUAAGAUAGGACUUUGGUCUAUUUUGUUGGUUUGCAGACCGAAGUAAUGAUUAAUAGGGAUAGUUGGGGGUAUUUAUAUUCCGAUGUCAGAGGUGAAAUUCUUAGAUUUUCGGAAGAUAAACUUAUGCGAAAGCAUUUACCAAGGAUGUUUUCAUUAA
rnacentral:rRNA from 1 species